rnacentral:tRNA from 1 species
AGCUCAGUUGGUAGAGCAAAGAAUGAAA